rnacentral:tRNA from 2 species
GAGCCCGUAGCUCAGCCGGUAGAGCAGCUGACUUUUAAUCAGCGGGUCCGGGGUUCGAGUCCCCGCGGGCUCA